rnacentral:lncRNA from 1 species
UUUUUUCUUUUUUUUCCCCCAUAGCAGCAUUUGAAAAGCACCGUACUGAUCUGUGGGGGAAGCCACUGAGCAGCCCCGGUUCUGCUCCAUGGGAGGCUCCUUUUGUUCUCCUGCCCAUGGUGACAUAGAUCAUCACAUUCUAUUGCUACAAACCAGACAGUGUGUUGCAGAGAAAUCUUGCACCUGGCACAGCUCUUACCCAGCCCAUAUCCAUCAUUCCUCACAGCCAGAGCCCAGAGGACCAUGCCCUGACUUCUCCCUAGGCUGAGAACACCGAUCUGCAGCUGUGCCCUGCGAGUGCUGAGCCCUUCGCUGAGCUGUAGGAGGCCCUCAGCACCCAUCAACCUCACUGAAGAAGGAAAGGGCAGAGUUUCCUAGGUGACAGAGCUGAGAAAAGGUACCUUAAAUAUGGGAAAGUAGGAGUGUGAAGAGUAUGGCUGUCUGUCUCAUGGUUUUGUGACCUGGCUUGUGACAGCCUGCAUUUUCCCCUUGUUUUUGCUUGUGCUAUAGUAGCAUGGGUUCAAAUUCUUGUGAAAGAAACAAAUCUGAAGGAUCCCAAAUGGAUUUGCUGUUAUGUUUUAAUCUUAGUUUCAAGACAAGUGCCCCUAUCAUUUCUUAGGUAUGAUUUCCAAGUCUGGUUGAUUGUUUUAUGCAAGAUUAGUCUUCUGUUGCUCUUAUGUGAGAUAAUUCUCUUUUAGAUGCUGGGUUUAUAGGGAAGCUGGUGGGAGAGGGUGAGAAAACCUUUUCUUUAAGAUAGCUUUUAUAGGACUAAUUCUAAUGCUCCUUUCUGGAGCCUCCCUGCUUCAGAGUGCUGUGCAAGAUAUUAGUUACCUGUGCAGUUUCAGUAGACAGAGAAGUAAAUAAAACUUCCUUGCCAUUUAAAGGCCUUUUGACC